rnacentral:SRP_RNA from 1 species
GCCAGGCAUGGUGGCUCAUGCCUGUAAUCCCAGCACUUUGGGAGGCUGAGGUGGGUGGAUCACUUGAGGCCAGGAGUUCGAGACCAGCCUGGCCAACAUGGUGAAACCCCAUCUCUA